rnacentral:rRNA from 1 species
UACGUAGGGCGCGAGCGUUGUCCGGAAUUAUUGGGCGUAAAGAGCUCGUAGGCGGCCUGUUGCGUCCGCUGUGAAAGCCCGGGGCUUAACCCCGGGUCGCAGUGGAUACGGGCAGGCUAGAGAUAGGUAGGGGAGAAUGGAAUUCCCGGUGUAGCGGUGAAAUGCGCAGAUAUCGGGAGGAACACCGGUGGCGAAGGCGGUUCUCUGGGCCUUACCUGACGCUGAGGAGCGAAAGCGUGGGGAGCGAACAGG